GGAAGGAUCAUUACCGUGGAGAUGCGUCUCCAUUGAGAUAGCACCCUAUGUUCAAGAGUACCCUCUGUUUCCUCGCAGGCUCGUCUGCCGCUAGGACCCACUCGAAACCCUCCGUAGUAGCAGUAUCCUCAGUAAUCUACCCAAUAUCAAAACUUUCAACAACGGAUCUCUUGGUUCUGGCAUCGAUGAAGAACGCAGCGAAAUGCGAUAAGUAGUGUGAAUUGCAGAAUUUAGUGAAUCAUCGAAUCUUUGAACGCACAUUGCGCCCUUCGGCUAUUCCGUCAGGCAUGCCUGUUCGAGCGUCAUUUGAAAAGUUCAGGCCGUCUGGCUUGGUGCUGGGUGUUUGUUCCGCCUCUGCGCGCGAACUCGCCUCAAACGAAUUGGCAGUUCGGUAGACCUGGCCCUGCGUGCAGCAGAUUGCACCGGCAGAUGCUUUGGCUGCCUACUCUCCAGUAAGCUACUCCAUUGUUUGACCUCGGAUCAGGUAGGGAUACCCGCUGAACUUAAGCAUAUCAAUAAGCGGAGGAAAAGAAACCAACAGGGAUUGCCCCAGUAACGGCGAGUGAAGCGGCAAUAGCUCAAAUUUGAAAUCUGGCUCUGCAGAGGGCCCGAGUUGUAAUUUGCAGAGGGUGCUUUGGCGGUAGCAGCGGCCUAAGUUCCUUGGAACAGGUCAUCGUAGAGGGUGAGAAUCCCGUAUGUGGUCGCUCGCUAUCGCCGUGUAUAGCCCCUUCGACGAGUCGAGUUGUUUGGGAAUGCAGCUCUAAUUGGGAGGUAAAUUUCUUCUAAAGCUAAAUAUUGGCCAGAGACCGAUAGCGCACAAGUAGAGUGAUCGAAAGAUGAAAAGCACUUUGGAAAGAGAGUCAAAAAGCACGUGAAAUUGUUGAAAGGGAAGCGCUUGCAGCCAGACGUGCCCGUAGUUGCUCAUCCGGAGCCAUCUCCGGUGCACUCUUCUAUGGGCAGGCCAGCAUCAGUCCGGGCGGUCGGAGAAAGGCCUGUGUCAUGUGUCUGCCUUCGGGCAGUGUUAUAGGGCAGGCGGAAUACGACCAGCCUGGACUGAGGUCCGCGCAUCUGCUAGGAUGCUGGCAUAAUGGCUGUAAGCGGCCCGUCUUGAAACACGGACCAAGGAGUCUAACAUCUAUGCGAGUGUUUGGGUGUCAAGCCCGAGCGCGCAAUGAAAGUGAACGGAGGUGGGAACCCUAGGGUGCACCAUCGACCGAUCCUGAUGUCUUCGGAUGGAUUUGAGUAAGAGCAUAGCUGUUGGGACCCGAAAGAUGGUGAACUAUGCCUGAAUAGGGUGAAGCCAGAGGAAACUCUGGUGGAGGCUCGCAGCGGUUCUGACGUGCAAAUCGAUCGUCAAAUUUGGGCAUAGGGGCGAAAGACUAAUCGAACUAUCUAGUAGCUGGUUCCUGC
rnacentral:misc_RNA from 1 species